AAUUUGCGUUAGGGAUAGCAGCGGCAUCCUUUUGUGAAACGAAGUGCAGCAAAAGAUACAGCGGAUAGCCCGACCCUUG
rnacentral:sRNA from 1 species